AACAAUAAAAGAUUGCUUGCUAUCUAAAGAAAGCCAGGUAUCUCAAGUUAAAGUAUUUAGUGCUUUCCUAUGUACCAUUUGGGCUGACUAGAUUCAUUCUUUCGACAAGCACCUAGUUAUCUAGGGCAAUUAUCCUGUCUUCUUAUUCUCAGUCUGUUCAGAGGGCACCAUUGUGAGUGGCUGUAGAGGCUGGGCUUCAGGCCUGUCCUCGCUGGGGGGUGGCGGCAGCCUCUGAUGACUUGGUUUCAGCAUUCUUUGUUUACCGACAUUGUUGUACUAUUUUCAUUCACAUUGUAGCAUUUUCAUUCACACAGUGAUUGUGGAUAAUCUGGAAACUUGGAAAGGAACCGAGAUGGAAUUACUGCAGGCUCCUCCGCUCAGAUGUAAGAAAAGCCUCUUUAAACUUCUUGAUGCAGCUCCUUAAUGAAGAUCUUGCGAAGGAAACCUAGUCAAAACCUGGGAUCAUGUCCUAGGA